AUUGAACGCUGGCGGCAUGCCUUACACAUGCAAGUCGAACGGUAACGCGGGGCAACCUGGCGACGAGUGGCGAACGGGUGAGUAACGCAUCGGAACGUGCCCAAUAGUGGGGGAUAGCCCGGCGAAAGCCGGAUUAAUACCGCAUACGACCUACGGGUGAAAGCAGGGGAUCGCAAGACCUUGCGCUAAUGGAGCGGCCGAUGUCAGAUUAGGUUGUUGGUGGGGUAAAAGCCCACCAAGCCGACGAUCUGUAGCUGGUCUGAGAGGACGACCAGCCACACUGGGACUGAGACACGGCCCAGACUCCUAUGGGAGGCAGCAGUGGGGAAUUUUGGACAAUGGGCGCAAGCCUGAUCCAGCCAUGCCGCGUGCGGGAUGAAGGCCUUCGGGUUGUAAACCGCUUUUGUUAGGGAAGAAAUCUUUUGAGCUAAUACCUCGGAAGGAUGACGGUACCUAAAGAAUAAGCACCGGCUAACUACGUGCCAGCAGCCGCCGCAG
rnacentral:rRNA from 1 species